rnacentral:rRNA from 1 species
AGGGUGCGUAGGUGGGCUAGUAAGUCCGUGGUGAAAUCUCUGAGCUUAACUCGGAAACUGCCGUGGAUACUAUUAGUCUUGAAUGUUGUGGAGGUAAGCGGAAUAUGUCAUGUAGCGGUGAAAUGCUUAGAUAUGACAUAGAACACCGAUAGCGAAGGCAGCUUGCUACACAAUUAUUGACACUGAGGCACGAAGGCGUGGGGAUCAAACAGGAUUAGAUACCCUGGUAGUCCACGCCCUAAACGAUGGAUACUCGACAUACGCGAUACACAGUGUGUGUCUGAGCGAAAGCAUUAAGUAUCCCACCUGGGAAGUACGACCGCAAGGUUGAAACUCAAAGGAAUUGG